UGUGUUGUUGGGUAGGGGAGCGUUCUGUAAGCCUGCGAAGGUGGCCUGUGAGGGUUGCUGGAGGUAUCAGAAGUGCGAAUGCUGACAUAAGUAACGAUAAAGCGGGUGAAAAGCCCGCUCGCCGGAAGACCAAGGGUUCCUGUCCAACGUUAAUCGGGGCAGGGUGAGUCGACCCCUAAGGCGAGGCCGAAAGGCGUAGUCGAUGGGAAACGGGUUAAUAUUCCCGUACUUGGUGUUACUGCGAAGGGGGGACGGAGAAGGCUAUGUUGGCCGGGCGACGGUUGUCCCGGUUUAAGCGUGUAGGUGUGUGUUCCAGGUAAAUCCGGUUCACUUUAACACUGAGGCGUGACGACGAGGCACUACGGUGCUGAAGCAACAAAUGCCCUGCUUCCAGGAAAAGCCUCUAAGCAUCAGGUAACAUCAAAUCGUACCCCAAACCGACACAGGUGGUCAGGUAGAGAAUACCAAGGCGCUUGAGAGAACUCGGGUGAAGGAACUAGGCAAAAUGGUGCCGUAACUUCGGGAGAAGGCACGCUGACACGUAGGUGAAGUGAUUUACUCACGGAGCUGAAGUCAGUCGAAGAUACCAGCUGGCUGCAACUGUUUAUUAAAAACACAGCACUGUGCAAACACGAAAGUGGACGUAUACGGUGUGACGCCUGCCCGGUGCCGGAAGGUUAAUUGAUGGGGUCAGCGCAAGCGAAGCUCCUGAUCGAAGCCCCGGUAAACGGCGGCCGUAACUAUAACGGUCCUAAGGUAGCGAAAUUCCUUGUCGGGUAAGUUCCGACCUGCACGAAUGGCGUAAUGAUGGCCAGGCUGUCUCCACCCGAGACUCAGUGAAAUUGAACUCGCUGUGAAGAUGCAGUGUACCCGCGGCAAGACGGAAAGACCCCGUGAACCUUUACUAUAGCUUGACACUGAACAUUGAGCCUUGAUGUGUAGGAUAGGUGGGAGGCUUUGAAGCGUGGACGCCAGUCUGCGUGGAGCCGACCUUGAAAUACCACCCUUUAAUGUUUGAUGUUCUAACGUGGACCCGUGAUCCGGGUUGCGGACAGUGUCUGGUGGGUAGUUUGACUGGGGCGGUCUCCUCCUAAAGAGUAACGGAGGAGCACGAAGGUUGGCUAAUCCUGGUCGGACAUCAGGAGGUUAGUGCAAUGGCAUAAGCCAGCUUGACUGCGAGCGUGACGGCGCGAGCAGGUGCGAAAGCAGGUCAUAGUGAUCCGGUGGUUCUGAAUGGAAGGGCCAUCGCUCAACGGAUAAAAGGUACUCCGGGGAUAACAGGCUGAUACCGCCCAAGAGUUCAUAUCGACGGCGGUGUUUGGCACCUCGAUGUCGGCUCAUCACAUCCUGGGGCUGAAGUAGGUCCCAAGGGUAUGGCUGUUCGCCAUUUAAAGUGGUACGCGAGCUGGGUUUAGAACGUCGUGAGACAGUUCGGUCCCUAUCUGCCGUGGGCGCUGGAGAACUGAGGGGGGCUGCUCCUAGUACGAGAGGACCGGAGUGGACGCAUCACUGGUGUUCGGGUUGUCAUGCCAAUGGCACUGCCCGGUAGCUAAAUGCGGAAGAGAUAAGUGCUGAAAGCAUCUAAGCACGAAACUUGCCCCGAGAUGAGUUCUCCCUGAGACUUUAGGUCUCCUGAAGGAACGUUGAAGACGACGACGUUGAUAGGCCGGGUGUGUAAGCGCAGCGAUGCGUUGAGCUAACCGGUACUAAUGAACCGUGAGGCUUAACCUUACA
rnacentral:rRNA from 1 species